CCUACGGGAGGCAGCAGUGGGGAAUAUUGCACAAUGGGGGAAACCCUGAUGCAGCGACGCCGCGUGAGUGAAGAAGUAUUUCGGUAUGUAAAGCUCUAUCAGCAGGGAAGAAAAUGACUGUACCUGACUAAGAAGCCCCGGCUAACUACGAGCCAGCAGCCGCGGUAAGACGUAGGGGGCAAGCGUUAUCCGGAUUGACUGGGUGUAAAGGGAGCGUAGACGGCAGAGCAAGUCUGAAGUGAAAGCCUGCGGCCCAACUGCGGGACUGCUUUGGAAACUGGCCGGCUAGAGUACUGGAGAGGUAAGCGGAAUUCCUAGUGUAGCGGUGAAAUGCGUAGAUAUUAGGAGGAACACCAGUGGCGAAGGCGGCUUACUGGACAGUAACUGACGUUGAGGCUCGAAAGCGUGGGGAGCAAACAGGAUUAGAUACCCGAGUAGUC
rnacentral:rRNA from 1 species